GCUGAGACACAGUGGGGGAAUAUUUUUAUAGUUUCAGGCGAAAGGUUCAGUGACUAUUUUUAAUGAUGCCAAAAGUAAUGUAAGGGAGAGCUGCAUGAGAUAUUGGGAGUAUUUAUUAUGCUUUGCUCAUUGGCGAGUUCGUUCCAAGACAUUCUUUUUUCCUCUGCUAUACCAUAUUGAUCUUUUCAAGGUAAACUAGUAACUAAUAGCCAGCCCUAAGUGUUUGCCAUUUUGAUAACGAUUACAUCCAAGCACAGCCAGUUUAGCUCUAAACAAGAGUGCUGUAGAUCUUGAAGAUACAAAGUUGCAGUGCUUGAACUUUAAUUGAAAGCCAAUUUAUUAGUUUAAUGUCACACAUUUCCUCCCGCUUGGCGCUGUCCAACAAUAUAAACUCCACAUAAAGCCAACUUGAAAUACAGCCAAAAAUCCCUGGUUAAGAAUGAUGUUGCUUCCUAAAGGCUAAAAGAUAAUGUGAAUUACUGAAUAAAGAACACCCCACAGUCUUUUUGGGGGGGAGAGCAUCACAGAAAAGUCACUGCACCAUAUACAUGCUGCCUUUGCUUAGGGGGGAAAGCCCCCCUCCCUUGCUUUAAGAAGCUGAGGAACUACAAAUGCUAUCAGGCAUUGAUAUACAGCAGGGGUGGCCAACUCCCAAGAGACACUGAUCUACUCAAAGAGUUAAAAACUGGCAGUGAUCUACCCACUUUUGGGGGGUUCAGGCCAAAGUAGUUGAGCUUUUUAAAGGGAGGAGGAAAGCCCCAUUUUUGGGGGUGCAGGGCAAAAAUGUUGAGCUUUCUAAGAGGAGCCAAAGUUGUUGAGCUGCUUUAGGGGGAGCCAGUGAUCUAUCACAGACGUGUCAGGAGCUCAGCCUACAUUCAAUAGGAACCUGGCAGAGACACAUGCCCGACUGGCAUGUUCUCUCCCUCCUGGUCAUUCGGGAGCUUCAAAAGCUUUCUUCUGCCUGAACAUCACAGCGACUGAUGCCAACCGACACCAGCACACUUAGGGAUCUGCAGAGUUUGCGCAGUUGCAUAACAGACCUCAGCAACUCAGCAUUUUGGCUAAUCUACUUUAUUUAUGUAUAAACACACACGGAGCACCGCAGCUUGGCUCCCUGUCUAGCAUCAGACAGCAAAGAGAAAAAGAACAAAGGACAAUAAUCCCAUUUCACGAAACACAGUAACACAAACAUCCUGUCUCCGUCACUUCCCACUUUGUGGAGUCAAAACAUACCACGUCAUGUGAAAGACAACAAUCCCAUGACUGCAAUCAUGGAGCAGGAAUUCUAACAUUAGAGCCGUUUCAUACACACAAUGCCAAACUGGUUUGGUGUUGCAUCUGAGCCCACCCCAUCCUCUAUAAAAGGCUCGAGAUCAAAGUCAUUAUCUUCAUUUUUUUCCAUUUGUGGUUGGGAUGAAAGCAGUAGAAAAAGGUAUGGCAGAAAGCUUUUGUUGAAGUAUCAACAGUCCUGAAACUGGUUGUCUGCAGAUGCAAAAUUAACCCUUAUUUGACAGUACACAAAGAACUUGUCAUAUUCUCAUUUGUGGAACCUUGAUGAGAAGUAGCCAAAACUUUACAAAACACAGACUAUCUCACCAUUGAAUUUUGGUACCAAAUGCGUGGCACAUAGAAAAGUUAACACAUCAGCUCAGGACUUCCCAACAAAUUGCUUUUAUAUACCUUAGUCGUCCUUACUCAAUUUGUUACAACCUUCUCAAACCUCAAAUAAGUGCACUUCAUUCUACAUUUGGCAUUUCUGUUGAACUACGUUUUACUUUAAUUGCCUUGAUUGGAGGUUGUCAUUGUGUCUAGUCUUUUGGUACCCAUUUCCUUUUGAAUAAGUUUUUAAUGUGGAAAAAUAAGGAGUGGGGCAGUGGAAUCCACUUGAAUUUACUCCUCAGUGUGUCAUUCAGCAUUCCCUGGAGAAAAAGCAGCAAGUAAUAAAUAGAUUUUCUUGGCGAGGAAAGUGUCCUUACUUCACAAAUGGUUGCUUUGUUGGAGGCUGCUUCCCUUGCUUUGUUUUCCUUACAUAAUCUUUUGGACUCUCUGUCAAGAUAGCGGUCUAAGUCAACUAUGGAAAGAUGCCCUGUAUAUAAAGAACAGAGGUUAUUCUUGAUCGUUUGUCUCUGUACAGUCAAGGCAGCACACAAAAACAAGUGCCUUCGGCUUUAGAAUUUAUUUACAUAAUUUACAUAGGAUGCACAGACAGCCAAGUCAAGGUUGUUUAUAUAUCUGUUUGGUGUAAGACAUGACCUUAACUUGCAUCAAUACAGCAUUUUCUGAAAAGUGCACAUAAUUUUCUAAAGCUUGUUGAGAGCAGACGUCAUCAAGCACAGUGGAAUAAAACCUGCUUUUGCUGAAAAACAAGCAGAGGGAAAUUCCAUAUAAAUUCCAGAUAAAGUGAGACUUGAAGACUUUAGUAUGUUUACCUACAUGAGAUCAGUUGACUCCCCCCCCCCCCGAAUUAUUCCUCUUUCAUCAAACUUUGCAAACGCCGAACAUGGAAAAGUUAUGAACUGCUCCAUUAUGCUGGCAUGCAGUAAAAAGGUAAAGGGACCCCUGACUGUUAGGUCCAGUCGCAGAUGACUCUGGGGUUGCGGCACUCAUCUUGCUUUAUUGGCCGAGGGAGCUGGCGUACAGCUUCCGGGUCAUGUGGCCAGCAUGACUAAGCUGCUUCUGGCGAACUAGAGCAGCACAUGGAAACGGCGUUCACCUUCCCGCCGGAGCGGUACCUAUUUAUCUACUUGCACUUCGUGCUUUUGAACUGCUAGGUUGGCAGGAGCUGGGACCGAGCAAUUGGAGCUCACUCUGUCGUGGGGAUUCGAACCACCAACCUUCUGAUCGGCAAGCCCUAGGCUCUGUGGUUUAACCCACAGCGCCAUCCGUGUCCCACGCAGUACAUGCAGUACCCAUGUAUUAUUCCUAUUUGUCAGAAUCAUGGUGGAAAAGGGCUCAGUGUUUGAGCCUGACCUGCUAAAAACUAUCAGCACCUUCCCAUCAACCUUUCAGAGAACAAUUAUUAUGCAGUCCAACAACAGUGAGAUGCAAAUGGAAAGACAAUGGUUUGAAAGAAGCAAAAAGCCGCCAAUAAGUAAGGUAUACCAAACAUUCCACUUUGUCUGCAUUUGACAUGGAGAAAAUGGCUCCAUCACUUUCAAGCGACCAACUCAAGUUCCAGCUUUCAAAUGGAGACAAGGAAAUAAAAUAAGCUACUCAGCGCCCCUACAAAUCUGAGCUUCAGACGUUGGAUUUGUAUGCUCACUGUGUUCUAUUCAUGCUUCCAAGGCUCUGUAUAAUCAUGCUGAAUAUUAUCAACAUCCUUGAGCCCUUGUCAUUGGUUAUUUACAGCAUCUCUGCAUUUUUCAUUGAGUUCAUCUUUAGCGCAUUAUCCCCUCCCCAACGCUAUUCAUAGACUUUUUGCUAUUAAUGCAAAUAAUACGUUUAUGAAGAUGAAUUCUUAUGCAUGUCUUAAGGUUUUCAAAUUCAAAACAGUAUCACAACAUUCAAGGUUAUUUUAACUUUUGUAUGUUUUUAAGCAUCGGUAUAAUUUUUUCUUGUUUAUAUUGUUUUGUCUUUUGUAUUAAAUGUUAUGAAACAAAUAAUACAUACCUUU